UACGUAGGGUGCAAGCGUUGUCCGGAAUUACUGGGCGUAAAGGGUUCGUAGGUGGCCAACUAAGUCAGACGUGAAAUCCCUCAGCUUAACUGGGGAACUGCGUCUGAUACUGGAUGGCUUGAGUUCGGGAGAGGGAAGCGGAAUUCCGGGUGUAGCGGUGAAAUGCGUAGAUAUCCGGAGGAACACCGGUGGCGAAGGCGGCUUCCUGGACCGAUCACUGACGCUGAGGCGCGAAAGCUAGGGGAGCAAACGGG
rnacentral:rRNA from 1 species